rnacentral:rRNA from 1 species
CCUACGGGUGGCAGCAGUGGGGAAUAUUGCACAAUGGGGGAAACCCUGAUGCAGCAACGCCGCGUGAAGGAAGACGGUUUUCGGAUUGUAAACUUCUGUUCUUAGUGAAGAAUAAUGACGGUAGCUAAGGAGCAAGCCACGGCUAACUACGUGCCAGCAGCCGCGGUAAUACGUAGGUGGCAAGCGUUGUCAGGAAUUACUGGGUGUAAAGGGAGAGCAGGCGGGAAGCCAAGUCAGCUGUGAAAACUAGGGGUUGAACUUGUAGACUGCAGUUGAAAUGGGUUUGUUGGAGGGAAGUGGAGUGAGGAGAAAUGCGGAGGGGAGCGGUGAAAGGGGUAGAUUUUGGGAGAAACAGCGGUGG